AUUGAACGCUGGCGGCAGGCCUAACACAUGCAAGUCGAGCGGAUGAAGGUAGCUUGCUAUCUGAUUCAGCGGCGGACGGGUGAGUAAUGCCUAGGAAUCUGCCUGGUAGUGGGGGACAACGUUUCGAAAGGAACGCUAAUACCGCAUACGUCCUACGGGAGAAAGUGGGGGAUCUUCGGACCUCACGCUAUCAGAUGAGCCUAGGUACGAUUAGCUAGUUGGUGAGGUAAAGGCUCACCAAGGCGACGAUCGUUAACUGGUCUGAGAGGAUGAUCAGUCACACUGGAACUGAGACACGGUCCAGACUCCUACGGGAGGCAGCAGUGGGGAAUAUUGGACAAUGGGCGAAAGCCUGAUCCAGCCAUGCCGCGUGUGUGAAGAAGGUCUUCGGAUUGUAAAGCACUUUAAGUUGGGAGGAAGGGCAGUAAGUUAAUACCUUGCUGUUUUGACGUUACCGACAGAAUAAGCACCGGCUAACUUCGUGCCAGCAGCCGCCGUAACAC
rnacentral:rRNA from 1 species